UACGGAGGGAGCUAGCGUUGUUCGGAAAUACUGGGCGUAAAGCGCACGUAGGCGGCGCAGCAAGUCAGGGGUGAAAUCCCGGGGCUCAACCUCGGAACUGCCCUUGAAACUGCAGUGCUAGAAUCUUGGAGAGGCGAGUGGAAUUCCGAGUGUAGAGGUGAAAUUCGUAGAUAUUCGGAAGAACACCAGUGGCGAAGGCGGGUCUCUGGGCCGAUACUGACGCUGAGGAGCGAAAGCGUGGGGAGCAAACAGG
rnacentral:rRNA from 1 species